rfam:Parcubacteria group bacterium RIFCSPHIGHO2_01_FTLL_47_10b rifcsphigho2_01_scaffold_4217, whole genome shotgun sequence.
GCCUCCGUGGUGAAAUGGACAUCACGCGACGCUUCGGACGUCGUAUUAGGGGUUCGAAUCCCUUCGGAGGUA